UAGGGAAUAUUGGGCAAUGGGCGCAAGCCUGACCCAGCCAUGCCGCGUGCAGGAAGAAGGCGCUCAGCGUUGUAAACUGCUUUUGUCGGGGAAGAAACGACCCCUGCGGGGGGCAUUGACGGUACCCGAUGAAUAAGCACCGGCUAACUCCGUGCCAGCAGCCGCGGUAAUACGGAGGGUGCAAGCGUUGUCCGGAUUUAUUGGGUUUAAAGGGUGCGCAGGCGGGAAGGUCAGUCUGCGGUGAAAGACGAUCGCUCAACGAUUGCAGUGCCGUGGAUACUGCCUUUCUUGAAUCUGGUUGAGGCCGGUGGAAUUGACCGUGUAGCGGUGAAAUGCAUAGAUAUGGUCAAGAACUCCCAUUGCGAAGGCAGCCGGCUGGGCCAGCAUUGACGCUCAGGCA
rnacentral:rRNA from 1 species